ACACCCUCAAGCACUGCUUGGUGUUGGGCGUCUGUCCCGCCUUCGCGCGUGGACUCGCCCCAAAGUCAUUGGCAGCGGUCUCAGCACCUCAACGCGCAGUACAAUGCGUUCAUUGGAGUGUCGUGGGCGCGACCAUAAAGCUAUUACCGU
rnacentral:misc_RNA from 2 species